UCUCCUUCCCUUUGAUGUGUGCUCUGCUCGAUUCGCACGGGCAUGGCGCCACCGCCGGCGGCCGGUCUUCUUCUCCGGCCAUUAGCCCGAGACCGGUCUUCUUCUCCGGUCAUCCGCCUCCCUGUCCUCCUUCCCCUCUUCAUUUGUCCCUAAUCUUCUCCUUCUUCCUCCCGUGACGCUCGGUUGGCCACCGUCAAGCCACCACGCCCCAAGAUCCUCGCUCGUGCUGAUCCGUCGCCGUGCUCUCCCUCCGAGGUCACUCUUUGAAACAAUCCACCACGGGCGCGUGGACAGUUCCUUAAAAGCGAGCCCGUCGCGAUCCACCACGCAUAACCCGUUCCCCGCCUCCCUCUCCGUGCAAGCUCGACUCAUUGGUCGGGUUGCUGGAUCCUUGGCGGGGAGCGCCCCUGCGCUCGCCGGCGGGGUGGACGUAGCUCUGGGCCAAGCGUGCCAUACACCGCCACACAAGUUGUGCACCACCAUGGAUGCAGACGCCGAGUCCCGGGCUUCCCCUUACCUGGCCCUCCAGGCUGCAAUCGACAGAGGCCGGCCUUGGUUAUCUCCCCUCGUGGCCGAUCAAGGAGGCGCGAACAAUGUCAAUAUGUCAUCAGCACCUCAGGGUAUGGCCGCCACAUCUGGUAAAAAUUGACAACAGUACUAUUGAUUGACUGAAUGAUAAGAACGCUUCUGUUUUGUCUGUUUAAUUCAGUCCUUGGGCUAUCCGUGGAGAACACACACUCCAUGGUCCAGACUUGUGACUAUACUUAAGUGGAAUUAUUCUGUGGUCUCUUCAUGAUUGAUCACGGGGUUGCGAGUGAAAUUUGUGUAUGGAGCAUCAGUAUCAUGGUCAUAGAGUCGGCAGGCUUCAGUUAUGUGUACUUGGUUGGAGAUAUAUGAAGCGUAAGGGACCAGCUCAUUCAUACUUGAGAUUCAGUAAUGUUCUUGCAAGUUGCAACCAUUUAGUUAAGAUCUGCAGGUCUAAAAAACAAGCACCGCAUGAAUCAGAUGUCAAUGAGGCAGCACGACUCUGCAAGAAGCUGAACAUAAAAGAAACAAAAUGGAAACAACUCGAUGAUUUAGGAACAACACGUCAUUGACGACAGGCAUUUUUCCAGUCAGGGGAGAGGAUUUUUUUAUGCCGCGCUAGAACUUUUCGUGCUACGGAUUUAAAUAGUCCAGUGUCCAGUAUUAUGGGAUCCACUCACUCUACAAGUACUGCAGCUCUUAAAAGUGCUAAGUUAAUGAAAAGGGUGUUCCACUAAAAAAUAACAAGAAUGGAUCGGUGUUUUUCUUGAAUCCCCUCGGUUUGAACUAAUGCCACGUAUUUUCAAGAAUAAUUUGUGAAUCAAUUGUCAAUCUAAAUAUGGUUGACAGAUUGUGUACGGACGGAAAUUUGAAGCAGAUUAGGCAGGGGUCUUUGUCGGAGAGGUUGCGGAGUGGAUGAACUACACUCCUGCAUCCACUAUGGAGGCAGCUAAUGCUUAUCCUAAAUUCCCUUCUCUAAAAUAAAAAUAGUUUUUAGGUCUAUAUUGGCAACAAUACUCUUCACUGGAUUAUGAGCCAAAUGAAGGGAACUAGGGAAGGAGGUCUGAUUUGCAUCUCCUGAAGGGGCACACCACAAAAUUAUUUCAUUUGGGAUGCGUUCCUUCCAUCAGAGAGUAAAAAACCGGACAAUAAGGUCACUCUGAGGACAGCUCACACUGAUGUUUACGUGAGGCCUUAGCAAUUUUUUUCCGUUUUACCUGAGCUAAUAUUUAUUGACCGAGUGUUAGCCAAUGACAUUAGUUGAUGUUACUCAUGGAGAGGAUUUGGAUGUUGUGUGUUAUUUAUUUAUUACACACGCUAUAAGCCUCAGAUUAGCUUCAUGGUAUAUCUACCUCUUUCCGCCUCUCAGAAUUAAGAUGUGUAGGUUCUGAAUAUUUCUUGGAUUUAUGACAAUAGACUGUAUGAUUAUCUAUGGUAAUCAGAAUUUAGAGCUAUACAAGAUUUGAAUUACAAUGUUCUUUUAUACAGCAAUAAGGCUACAGAUUUUCAGUAAGUUCGUUUCAUUUUUAAAUGGUUCAGAUGAUGUCAUCAAUCCAUUGGAGUAGAAGGGAAGAAUGAUCUGAAAUUGCUAAAAACAUGGCAAAUACAGUUGCAUUUCAUAUCUUAAAAGUAGGAGAUGCAUAUUAGUAGAAACUUAAUAGUUGACAUCCAAACUCAGGUACAUCUCUGAUAUGAUCGCUUUGUAUUGAUCUGUUGGUAAUUACAUGAUUGAUUAAUGGAGAAACAAUGAAUACUGUAGGUAAGUGAAGGCAUACGCAAAUCAAGGGAGCACACUGUAAGAGCCAUCGCUGCAGAGUUUGACUCCACAUUUUCUUUGGAUGAUUGUUUGCCUCUUUGAAUCUAGAUUUUCUUUAACGUGACCACUUCGAUUGAAUUGAUUAUUUUGCAUUACACAUAGUGACCAAAACUAAUGCUCUGUCCAGGCUUUGGGACACACUUUGCUGCAUAUAGGUGUUCACAUGCUUCAUGCUUUUAAGUAUCUGCUUUCACGGGAUAACUCAGUCCAUAUGUUUCUUGAGAAGUUAGGACUAACAGAAAAAUAUUCCAUGUCUCGCAACAUGAAGAAGCACGCGAUAAUUUAUAAGUUUUGGAGUCUGCUAAACUCCAGUUCUGAUUUGAAAGAUGCAUACAUACAUUAUUUUUUUAUUUGCUUUACUUGGUCAGUUUGUAAACUGAUGCAUUUCAAAGAUGCAAGUUCAUGCUCAAGAUUUAAUUGUAUUAGCUUUAAGAAAUGAGUAACUGUAUUAUAUGUCAUCUGUGCUUGGACCUAGGGGAUUUUCAAAUGUAGGCUUUAUGGUUUUUACUCUACGUAUGCAACUACAACCAUCGUCACUUGCAUUGUGCUAUUUUUGAUAGACUAAUAUGGUUAGUUUGCAAAGUUCUUGGAUAAAUUAGGAAGAUAUUGUAAAUCUUUUUUCACAUGUUCGACCGUUUCAUGCUGCUAACGGAGCCAUGUUGAUGUUGUUCUUAACUUGGUGUGCAUAUAAAUUGUUCUUUCAGACAGGCUGGGCAGUCUUCAUUAUCAUAAUGGUGUCCCAUUGGUUGGUAUACACAAUUGCUUUGUGUUGUUUGCAAAGAUUAAAUAAGUAAGGUUCUAAUGAUGGUUUUGCGGUGAGUAUAUAUAUGACCAAUCUCUGUGGAGUUUCACUCCAUCUGUAUGAAAGUUUCUAUGUCUAGUUGCACUUCGAUGGCGGUGCGGAGCUAAAGUAGAUGUCGACGGAGGACAUGAGGGCGGACUUUCCAAAUACAAAAUCCAUGAUCCAAAAAUCGACAAUCCAACCCGGUGCAAUGCAGGGGCACUUUUACUAAUGCCCUAAUGAAAGGACUUAGGUGUGGAGCCAUCGCAACUAGGUUACCUUGAAGGGGUUGAACGGGACAAAGGACACAGAGAGUUUACCCAGGGUCGACCCCUCACAACGAGGUAAAGGCCUACGUCCUGCUUCUAAUUGUAUUGCUUGAGUUUCGAUUACAAGGGAGCGAAUACGCUUGACCUAGAUCUUGAUUGCUUGUUUCUUGAGUUAACCUGCCGCCAGGUCUCACCUUUAUAUACAUAGGUAGAGACCCCGAGGCUUACAGAGUCCUGGCCGGCUCACACAGCGUGUCCAACUCGGUUUCUAACUAAUCCUGCCUUACAGAACAAGUCUUCAUACGGUAGUUCACAUGCCUAGGUCUUGGGCCUUUACUAGGCCUGCCUCCAAGAGCCGCCGUCUUCGUACUUCUCCUUGGGCCUCCUUGGACCUUCUUCAUGUUGAGCCGCCAAUGGUGUAACCCGGCCCCUCCUGGGCGGGUCACACCUAGGAGCUAUAUCCCCAACAUUAGGCCCCAAGUUGAUUUGAACUUGUUCAUAUCAAUCUCCACUAUUUAACUUAGCAGAAUGUAUCAGUGUCGAAUAUUCAUCAGACCGAUAUAACCCGCCAUGACAUCACAUAAACAGAAAUAUUGUAACCCGCCAUGACGUCAUGUGCAUUGAUUCGGCACAAAGCCCAGGAUAUCUCAACAGAUCUUCAUCUUAAUGGACCUCCCGAGAAUCGAGACACCCACAUCGUUUAACAUAAUAAUUUUGCCUCCUUUAUUCCCGCGCAGGCCAUCUUUUCACCUCCUUAUAAAUAGGGACAGGGGUCCUCUUCUUCACUUUUUACCCAUGCCUCUGCCUCUUCUUCUUCCACGCGAUGACCGACGCCUUCGGAGCUCUGCCGCCCCCGUCGACUGCAUCAACCUGACCUCGACCAGAAAACGGCGGCGCCCCUCCGCUGUUCAUCAGCAUCUCCAAGUACCCAUCUCCUUUUUCCUCACAUAUGCAUUAGGGUUUCUGCAGUUCUUUAGUGUUCAACGACGUUCAUCACCCUUGUCUAUAGUUCAUCGACCAUGCCACCUUAGUAGGACCAAAACGCGAUGCUAAAGUCACACCUUACUCCUCUUUAAUAUCUGCUAUCAAAUAUGGAUCCACUUGCUGCUGUUGAAAUUCACUCCCCACACCUGUGGUUCGUCCACUGUUUUUAGGGCUAGUAAUUUUCUCCUGUUUCUGUAACGACUGUAGAUUCGAAAUUAUAGGCUGAAUCUAUGAAACUUGUUUGCCUAGCACUUAGUGAAAUUCUAUCCAAUCCCUAGAUCUUGUAACCAUCGGCUUGACCACUGUUGUAUGAGCGGCUCAAAUAAUACUUUGUAACCCGCCAAAUACCAGCCGGCUUACCUUAUAAGUUGUUUAAACUGCCAGUACUUAUCCAGGCUUGACAUUAUCCGUCUCGUACCUCGCCGGUUUAACCAUGCUAUCUUCUUUUCUGCAACCAUUAAGCGGCUUACCAAUCCUUGCAUAUAACCAAUUUUGCAUAAUAACUUAACUUUGUUCAACCAUUGGGUGACUCAUCAUCACAAAUUUGACCCGCCAUGAUUUCCUUUAUAGGUUUUCACCUGAUCAAAAUGACUAAGACCGUCACCUCCUGCGACUGGGUCGUUUCCAAUGUCACAGAAUGGACUCUCCAAGAGUUUGUUGCCAUGGGCGUUUUGCCAUCUAAGAAUGUCAUCCAUUGGCGGGUUCCAGGGGCUGAGGUUCCAUCUCAACCAAAAGAAGGAGAAGUUAUAGUUUUCUCUGAUCAUAUGCUCCGAGGCUUCUCACCGCCCAGCUCAAAAUUCUUCCGUGAUGUCCUGAAUUUCUAUCAGCUUCACCCUCAAGACAUCGGACCCAAUUCAGUUUCCAAUAUUUGCAAUUUUCAAGUCUUUUGUGAAUUAUACCUUCAAGAGGAGCCCAGCGUUUGACCUCUUCGGAGAGUAUUACUAUUUGAACCGCCAAACAGAGAUGACAGACGGCCCCAGCCUUGAACUUGGUGGAAUUUCUAUCCAGAGGUGAAGAGACGCCGUCUUUCCUUCAGCUGCACUUCCUAGUCACCCAAAGACUGGAACUAGACUUGGUUUUAUUGCCAAGACACCUCUCCGGCGGGUGAAAAUCCUCUGCUGGGUUUCCGUAUUCACCGGCUCAACCCCAGGCACCCACUUCCAGACCGGAUUAGCUCUGCCAAACGAGCCAAAUAUGGACCCACUUUUACUAAGAUAAGGGCCUUGAUGGCAAAUGACUUGACAGGUAUUGACCUGGUUCGAUGCUGGGUUAGCUGGAGAAUCAUGCCUUUAAGCCACCGCCCCGGCUUAAUGUGCACAUACACAGGCGAUGUGAAUGACCCCUUGCGGUAUAACUCUAUAUCCCUUGAAGAGAAGGACCUCAACGAAAUGACCAAGUCUGUACUUGGAGAAACUCUAGAAAACUCCAGCAAAACAGGGCUGAGCCCCUUCUAUGUUCUUAACCCGGCUCCAGCUGCCGACUCUCCUUUUUGGAAUAAGAAGCUUCAAGAUAAACCGACUAAAAAGGCCAGGGGAAAGACCAAGGCUCCCAAGAGACCCGCCAAGAUGAAAAUAGAUGCAACAGACCAAUUUACUCUGGAUGAUGAGUCGGAGGAUGACACGAAGACCAGCUAGGCAGAUGUUGUAGAGAAACAACAGCAUGAAGCUCGGCGUACAACUCGGAACAGCGGAGGGGGAGACCUUCAUGCCGGCUUACCCAACAUGCCGGCCCCUCGCAAACGCCGAGCAGAGGGAACCUCUCACUCCUCCUCCGGCAACUCUACUGGGACUCAGAUUCCUCUCUUCAAAGUCGCUCCUAGCAGUAUAGCCAAACCCAGCAAGAAAUUGAAGAUGAACAAGCCGACCGAAGACCCCAAGGUUAUUGAGCUGGAGAAACAAAUCAUAUCUGAAGCUUCUCAUCACACUCCUGAGGCUGCUGCUGAUGACCCACCACCAGAGACUCACGAUGUCACAGUGGAUCCAAUGGGUGUUGACCCAUCCAGCACUAAGCCGCACAGUCCCAUAAAACCCGCUGAAGAGCCUCCUUCAUAACAAACUGCUGAGGAUGUCAUCAUUGCUGGCACUGGUUAUGCUGAACCCGGGAACCCCACCAUUCUGGCCAAGCAUUCUGCCAAAGAAGAGUUAAUUGAAAAAAGCAAGGCCAAAUUUGACGUUGCAAAUUAUUCACACUUGGGUGUCAGUGAAUUAUACUCUAGUUAUCUGAGCCAGCUGCAUACUGGUCAUGAUCUAGAGGCAGAUUUAGUCAAGAAAUUGCGCCAGAAAUAUGAGGAUGCUUUAACUCAGGCCGAGCCCCAGGUGGUCGAUUUAAAGACCAGGCUUGAGCAACAAGAAGCUGAAACAUGCGAAGCUGACUCCAAGCUUAAGCUUGGUCUGGAGAAGAGCGAGAAGCUCAGAGCUGGGUUUUCCACAUAAAGAAACGCUUGGAAGAAAGAGAAAACUGCCUUAGUACAAAGAGCAGAGACUGCCGAAUCUUCUUUGAAAGAGACCACUGCAGAACUGUUCGGCUUAAAAUGCCAUAUCUCAAAGAUGACAGCUGCUAUCUUUGCCCCAGGAGUGCCAACCUUGGCCAGGACAUGUUGGUGAAGCUGAAGGCGGUUUACACUUUGGUGGAACAGCUCUACACAGGCACUCAGCAAACCAUAGCGGCCAUCUCACACAGUAAACAACCACCUUCACUCAUCAGGGAGGUACUGGACAAACUAUCUGCCAUGCUCCAGAGAAUCGAAGAGAUUAAGCGAUCAUCAGCCCGAGCUGGUGCCAUCACUGCUUUGAGCCGGGCCAAAGCAUGGCAAGCAGAGUUAGACCUAGAGGAGAUGGCCACUGGUUUUCCGAGUCUCAAAGAAGACGGGUCUCCCUUCGAUGCAAGCAACUUUACCAAAUGUGUAAAGGAGAUGCACCCUCUAGCAAGCAAAUUGGCUAAAGAGACGGAUUUGUCCAAGUAUCAGGCGGCUUACACGAUGGAGAACUCGAAAGUGAAAGCGCCGGCUUAUGAGAUUGUGGAUCUUAUUCCUCCAAUACGUAAGCGUACUUUUGCUCUUAACAUUGAUCCGUCCACACUUAUAGAUGAUGAAGCUAUGUUCAAAGCCUUAACUGGCAUCGACUGGACAUCACCUGACUUCCAGACGAUGGACGACGAAUAAGAAACGACGCAGGAUAACCCAAAGGCUUCAACUCGCCAGGACCAAAAGAACUGAUCCAAGGGGCGGCUCUCAGACCGCGGCAUAGAAUUUCUUUUGAAAAACUCUUAAUCUUGUGGGCUUGGGGAAGCCUUGUAAUAGGCUAGUUGAAACAAUGAUCUGUCAUGCCAUCGCGCAUGUGGUAUCCUUUGAAUGUUUAAACCGCCGAGCUUGAUUUUUAUCACCCGCCACUUGUGCAUAUAAUAUUAUCAACUA